UACAGAGGGUGCAAGCGUUAUUCGGAAUUACUGGGCGUAAAGCGUGCGUAGACGGUUACAUAAGUCGGGUGUUAAAGCCCCGGGCUCAACCUGGGAAUUGCAUUCGAGACUGCGUAGCUAGGGUGCGGAAGAGGGAAGCGGAAUUUCCGGUGUAGCGGUGAAAUGCGUAGAUAUCGGAAGGAACACCAGUGGCGAAAGCGGCUUCCUGGUCCAGCACCGACGUUCAGGCACGAAAGCGUGGGGAGCAAACAGG
rnacentral:rRNA from 1 species